UACAGAGGGUGCAAGCGUUGUUCGGAAUUACUGGGCGUAAAGCGCGUGUAGGCGGCUAGGCAAGUCAGAUGUGAAAGCCCUCGGCUUAACCGAGGGAGUGCGUCUGAAACUGCUGAGCUUGAGUCUCGGAGAGGAUGGCGGAAUUCCGCAAGUAGAGGUGAAAUCCGUAGAUAUGCGGAGGAACACCGGUGGCGAAGGCGGCCAUCUGGACGAGUACUGACGCUGAGACGCGAAAGCGUGGGGGGCAAACAGG
rnacentral:rRNA from 1 species